rnacentral:rRNA from 1 species
UACGUAGGGUGCGAGCGUUGCCCGGAUUUAUUGGGCGUAAAGGGCGCGUAGGCGGCUCGGCACGUCCGUUGUGAAAUCGCCCGGCUCAACUGGGCGGGGUCAGCGGAUACGGUCGAGCUUGAGCAAGCUAGGGGGCAAUGGAAUUCCCGGUGUAGUGGUGGAAUGCGUAGAUAUUGGGAGGAACACCAGUGGCGAAAGCGACUUUCUGGGACGUUCCUGACGCUGAGGUUCGAAAGCUCGGGGAGCAAACAGG